AUUCAUAAUAUAUUUCCAAACAUCUACUAAAGGAAUUGAAGAAGGCCAAUCCUCCUUGCAGGUGUGGAUGUAAUGAAAGCCUCCCUCCAUUCACAACUGACGCAUACUCGUUCCACUGCUUUAUUGUAAACAUCUUGCUCUAUCUCGGGCAUACUCAGUAGAAUCUGGACCACAGUAGAUACGGAGAAAGAGUCUACAGGUGGUUGUGUAGUCCCUGAGCUCGCAGAG
rnacentral:lncRNA from 1 species